rnacentral:rRNA from 1 species
UACGGAGGGUGCGAGCGUUAUCCGGAAUUACUGGGUUUAAAGGGUGCGUAGGCGGCGCAGUAAGUCAGGAGUGAAAGUUUGCGGCUCAACCGUAAAAUUGCUUUUGAUACUGCUGUGCUAGAAUUAGGAUGAGGUCAGCGGAAUGUGGCAUGUAGCGGUGAAAUGCAUAGAUAUGCCAUAGAACACCAAUUGCGAAGGCAGCUGGCUAGACCUGGAUUGACGCUGAGGCACGAAAGCGUGGGGAGCGAACAGGAUUAGAAACCCCAGUAGUCC